GGAGGCAGCAGUGGAGAAUAUUGCACAAUGGGCGCAAGCCUGAUGCAGCGACGCCGCGUGAGGGAUGACGGCCUUCGGGUUGUAAACCUCUUUCAGUAGGGAAGAAGCCUUUUGGGGUGACGGUACCUGCAGAAGAAGCGCCGGCUAACUACGUGCCAGCAGCCGCGGUAAUACGUAGGGCGCAAGCGUUAUCCGGAAUUAUUGGGCGUAAAGAGCUCGUAGGCGGUUUGUCGCGUCUGCCGUGAAAGUCCGGGGCUCAACUCCGGAUCUGCGGUGGGUACGGGCAGACUAGAGUGAUGUAGGGGAGACUGGAAUUCCUGGUGUAGCGGUGAAAUGCGCAGAUAUCAGGAGGAACACCGAUGGCGAAGGCAGGUCUCUGGGCAUUAACUGACGCUGAGGAGCGAAAGCAUGGGGAGCGAACAGGAUUAGAUACCCUGGUAGUCCAUGCCGUAAACGUUGGGCACUAGGUGUGGGGGACAUUCCACGUUUUCCGCGCCGUAGCUAACGCAUUAAGUGCCCCGCCUGGGGAGUACGGCCGCAAGGCUAAAACUCAAAGGAAUUGACGGAA
rnacentral:rRNA from 1 species